AUGAGGCUGGUGGCAAGAGUAACUGUGUUUCUGACCUUUGGAACUAUAAUUGAUGCUAAGACCACCCAGCCCACCUCCAUGGAUUGCGCUGAAGGAAGAGCUGCAAACCUGCCUUGUAAUCACUCUACCAUCAGUGGAAAUGAGUAUGUGUAUUGGUAUCGACAGAUUCACUCCCAGGGGCCACAGUAUAUCAUUCAUGGUCUAAAAAACAAUGAAACCAAUGAAAUGGCCUCUCUGAUCAUCACAGAAGACAGAAAGUCCAGCACCUUGAUCCUGCCCCACGCUACGCUGAGAGACACUGCUGUGUACUAUUGCAUCGUCAGAGUCG